AGGCGAAUCCCAAAAAUAAACGUCCCACGUUCGGAUUGUAGUCUGNAACCCGACUACAUGAAGCUGGAAUCGCUAGUAAUCGCGGAUCAGAAUGCCGCGGUGAAUACGUUCCCGGGCCUUGUACACACCGCCCGUCACACCAUGAGAGUUGGGAAUACCCGAAGCCUGUGAGCUAACUUAUAGAGGCAGCAGUCGAAGGUAGAAUCAGUGAUUGGGGUGAAGUCGUAACAAGGUAGC
rnacentral:rRNA from 1 species